rnacentral:rRNA from 1 species
GAUGAACGCUAGCGAUAGGCCUAACACAUGCAAGUCGAGGGGCAUCACAUGAAGUAGCAAUACGGAUGGUGGCGACCGGCGCACGGGUGAGUAACACGUAUGCAACCUGCCUUCAACAAGGGGAUAACCCGUUGAAAGACGGACUAAUACCCUAUAACACAGGGGUCCCGCAUGGGAAUAUUUGUUAAAGGACAACCGGUUGAAGAUGGGUAUGCGUUCCAUUAGCUAGUUGGCGGGGUAACGGCCCACCAAGGCAACGAUGGAUAGGGGAACUGAGAGGUUUAUCCCCCACACUGGUACUGAGACACGGACCAGACUCCUACGGGAGGCAGCAGUGAGGAAUAUUGGUCAAUGGACGCAAGUCUGAACCAGCCACGUCGCGUGAAGGAAGACGGCCCUACGGGUUGUAAACUUCUUUUAUACGGGAAUAAAGUGCCCCACGCGUGGGGUUUUGCAUGUACCGUAUGAAUAAGGAUCGGCUAACUCCGUG